GCCUCUAUAGCUCAGUGGUAGAGCGCUUGACGUAUGUGAUCCCGCCAUAUUAAUAUUGAUAAGUCAUUGUAAACUAACCCUUGAAACAGUUGUAAUCAAGAGGUCCGUGGUUCAAUCCCGCGUGGAGGCU
rnacentral:tRNA from 1 species